rfam:Gossypium hirsutum cultivar TM-1 unplaced genomic scaffold scaffold477.1, whole genome shotgun sequence
UAUUAAAAAUUUCAUUCAUUUGUACUGUAAAAAUUGGUACGAUUGACUGAAUAAUCAUAUAGUAAUAUGUAACAUGCCGCAUGUACCUUAUGAUAAAGUACAAUGAGCAAUUUUUAACAAUAGAAAUUAAUGAAAUUUUUAACA